GCGGACACACCAUAAUCUAUCCGGAAAGCAUCGACCGAUGCUUGCUCAGUGGCUGUUUGUUUGACAUUUUGGGGUUUUGAAAGAAGAUCACCUUAUAUUUGCCAUUGUUACAUUUGUGCUCGACACAUUACAAAAUGGGUCCGAAGAAGUUGAAGCCGGCAAAAAAGGGAGUGGGACCAAUGGGCGGAUUUUUAACGAAAAAACCAGCAAACCAGAAUGGGAGACGCAGCGAGCCUUCCGAUUUACAACCUGUUGCUGAGACAGACAACCAGAAUGGGAGACGCAGUCUACCUCCUAAUUUACA